GACAGAGGGGGCAAGCGUUGCUCGGAAUUACUGGGCGUAAAGGGCGCGUAGGCGGGAUGGCAAGUCGGUCGUGAAAUCCCUCGGCUCAACCGAGGAACGUCGAUCGAUACUGCUGUUCUUGAGGAUUGCAGAGGAGACUGGAAUUCCCGGUGUAGCGGUGAAAUGUGUAGAGAUGUGGAGGAAUACCGAUGGCGAAGGCAGCCUCCUGGGCCAACACUGACGCUCAUGCACGAAAGCGUGGGGAGCAAACAGG
rnacentral:rRNA from 1 species